UACGUAGGGUGCAAGCGUUGUCCGGAAUUAUUGGGCGUAAAGAGCUCGUAGGCGGUUUGUCGCGUCUGCUGUGAAAACUCGGGGCUUAACUCCGGGCCUGCAGUGGGUACGGGCAGACUAGAGUGCGGUAGGGGAGACUGGAAUUCCUGGUGUAGCGGUGAAAUGCGCAGAUAUCAGGAGGAACACCGAUGGCGAAGGCAGAUCUCUGGGCCGUAACUGACGCUGAGGAGCGAAAGCAUGGGGAGCGAACAGG
rnacentral:rRNA from 1 species